GUGCUUCCUUCGGCAGCACAUAUACUAAAAGUAGAACGAUACAGAGAAGAUUAGCAUGGCCCCUGAGCAAGGAUGACACACAAAUUGGUGAAGCGUUCCAUAUUUUU
ensembl:snRNA LOC120094055 U6 spliceosomal RNA